AUUGAACGCUGGCGGCAGGCUUAACACAUGCAAGUCGAGCGGGGGAAGGUAGCUUGCUACUGGACCUAGCGGCGGACGGGUGAGUAAUGCUUAGGAAUCUGCCUAUUAGUGGGGGACAACAUCUCGAAAGGGAUGCUAAUACCGCAUACGUCCUACGGGAGAAAGCAGGGGAUCUUCGGACCUUGCGCUAAUAGAUGAGCCUAAGUCGGAUUAGCUAGUUGGUGGGGUAAAGGCCUACCAAGGCGACGAUCUGUAGCGGGUCUGAGAGGAUGACCCGCCACAAUGGGACUGAGACACGGCCCAGACUCCUACGGGAGGCAGCAGUGGGGAAUAUUGGACAAUGGGGGGAACCCUGAUCCAGCCAUGCCGCGUGUGUGAAGAAGGCCUUAUGGUUGUAAAGCACUUUAAGCGAGGAGGAGGCUACUUUAGUUAAUACCUAGAGAUAGUGGACGUUACUCGCAGAAUAAGCACCGGCUAACUCUGUGCCAGCCGCCGCCGUAA
rnacentral:rRNA from 1 species